AUCUUCGGGGUCGGGUGAAAUUCCCAACCGGCGGUAUAGUCCGCGACCCGCUUGUACCUCUUUGUUUGGAUAGAAUCUAUAACACAGUUUUUAUCUUACGUAUAAGCGGCUGAACCGGUGACAUAGUUACAAUGAAUUCCGGUACCGACAGUAAAGUCUGGAUGGUAGAAGAA
rnacentral:ncRNA from 1 species